rnacentral:rRNA from 1 species
ACGUAGGAGACGAGCGUUGUCCGGAGUUACUGGGCGUAAAGGGUGCGCAGGCGGCCGCGCGCGUCACGAGUGAAAUCUCCCGGCUCAACUGGGAGGGUGGUCGUGAGACGGCGCGGCUUGAGGGUCGGAGAGGGGCGUGGAAUUCCGGGUGGAGCGGUGAAAUGCGUAGAGAUCCGGAGGAACACCGACGGCGAAGGCAGCGCCCUGGACGACACCUGACGCUCAGGCACGAAAGCUCGGGGAGCGAACAGGAUUAGAUACCCUGGUAGUCCGAGCCGUAAACGAUGUCUACCAGGUGCUGGGGGUAUCGACCCCUCCAGCGCCGCAGCUAACGUGAUGAGUAGACCGCCUGGGGAGUACGGCCGCAAGGUUA